CUUACCAUGCAAGUCGAGCGCCCCGCAAGGGGAGCGGCAGACGGGUGAGUAACGCGUGGGAAUCUACCCUUUUCUACGGAAUAACGCAGGGAAACUUGUGCUAAUACCGUAUGUGCCCUUCGGGGGAAAGAUUUAUCGGGAAAGGAUGAGCCCGCGUUGGAUUAGCUAGUUGGUGGGGUAAAGGCCUACCAAGGCGACGAUCCAUAGCUGGUCUGAGAGGAUGAUCAGCCACAUUGGGACUGAGACACGGCCCAAACUCCUACGGGAGGCAGCAGUGGGGAAUAUUGGACAAUGGGCGCAAGCCUGAUCCAGCCAUGCCGCGUGAGUGAUGAAGGCCCUAGGGUUGUAAAGCUCUUUCACCGGUGAAGAUAAUGACGGUAACCGGAGAAGAAGCCCCGGCUAACUUCGUGCCAGCAGCCGCGGUAAUACGAAGGGGGCUAGCGUUGUUCGGAAUUACUGGGCGUAAAGCGCACGUAGGCGGACAUUUAAGUCAGGGGUGA
rnacentral:rRNA from 1 species